ensembl:lncRNA
GUACAAAUGUUCAUUCACUUCUAACAUGGGAUGCCAUUGUUCAUGUGCCAGCACCUCCUUAGUUGUGAAGAGAAAUAAAAGCAACCAACAAAACCCCACCCUGAACUGAGUGGGAGUUACAGAAACAAAAGCCAUGAAAACGAGCUUUGGAAAGCAAUGACUUCCUAGGUGUAGUUGUCAAAUUCUGGAGACCACUGUGUCUGGCAACUCUUUGGAGGAAGGAAAGAGUUCCCAAAGUAGUGGAUGGGCAGUGAGCAACACAUAAGCAAAGUAGUAGAAGCUGUGUCUCCUGGCUUGCCAGUCUAUACAGUUCAGAGGAAUUCUAGUGAUGCUAGUUUCAUAAAAAAUAAAAAACAAAGCGAUCUUUGGAAUAAUUCAAAAACCUCCUGGAUGGUUCAUGCAUUAGAUGGAUUGAUUGUAAAGGUGGGAGUUCACCUAACUCACUUCUUCCCUUUUGAGCAUGCCUCAGCCAUGAGGUAAGGUGGGAGCUGGGCUGCUCUCUGGCAGGAAGAAGGGUCUUGUGCCAGCCUAGAGAGCCUGUGCACAUCCCCAGGGAACAGUUCUGCCCUGCAUGUGCCCCCUGCAAUGAGCUGUGCUGCUGCCAGUGCCCCGUGCAGCUGUAGGGCUGCUCAGCUGUGGGGCAGGGACAGGAGCAGGAGGCUGCAUGUGCAGCUGAGCCAUGGCUGCAAAGUCCAGGGCUCUGGGCUCCCUGCUGUCCCAGGCCAGCCCAGAGGCCAGGCUGUUCCUGUGGGAGCUCUGUGCAAGCGGGACAGGGCUUUUCCUCUGGAGUGCUUCAAGGGUCUUCAUGCCUGGAAAUGUCAACUUGUGCAGCUAUUUAGGAGUUUUCAGGAAGUCUCUCCCACAAAAUAUGGAGCUCCAGAUGCUUUAGAUUUGCUUUACCACCUCAUUUACAUUUUUUUUUUUUUCUUCUUUGCAGGGCUGACUAGGUUCAUUUUUUCCAAAUCUUUCCGGCGAUCUCCUUCUAUGCUCCUUGCCUCUGCUCUGUUUCCUCCCAUCCGGAAAACCUCUCAGUCUUCCAACAGAAGAGAAAUGUGCAGAGUUGAGAAGGAGAGUGGGAAAAAUGGCACCAACUACGAUGAUGACACUAGAGAAAGAGAGGAGAUGAGGUCAAAAGGAAAAGGUCGUAAGGCUUCCUUGCUGUAUCCCACUGAAGGGGAUAAGAAGAAGGAAUCACUGGGACUGCCUUUGAUCCCCCCGAUACGCAGGGCAGUAAGUCCCGAUGUUGGCAGUGCUGCAGGGUCUCUGCAAAGCUCUCUGCAGCUGGAUGUGCAAGAGUCCCAGGAGAUGAGGCCCAGAUCCACCAGGAGAAGCGAAGAUGACAACUCUGAAGAAGGAGGUAGGUACAGGACAUGUCUGUCCUCAAAUGACCAUUGGAAUUUUGACUCAGAGGUGUCAUUUUGAAAGCUUGGUUGAAAAUAAUUAAUUUUAAAAUUUAUUUGACUUCAUUUCAAUACCUUGAUGGGCCCAGUGGGCUCCUGGAGAGUCCAGUCACAGGGAGUGUGCUCUGGUGGUGCAGUGAAUAGGCCGCCAGUGUGAAGUGUUGAAUGGCAGGAGCUGGAGUGGUACCUUUGGGCCCUGGAAAUGCAGUGCAGGAAAAAGAAACAAUCUACUCCACCUAGCACUUGCCCUUUAUCUCCCUGCAGCAUUUCCAGAGUCACAGUUAGUAGAAAAUGAGCAGGCAUUGAGCAUGAAAUGGGAAAUGUUCCCAGUCCUACGUCCUGCCCUUGAAGGAGAAAACCUUUCCUUGGGGCACUUUCUGGGCUGAACCCUUUGAGAUCUGAAGGAGAUUCAUGGACAUUGCCUGGUUCUGCACUGCGAGAAAUAGAGAAACCUCCUCUGAGGGAAAGUCCUUGUGAAAUUUCCGAUUAAGGAGAAGGAGGUUUCCAAAUGGAUGCAGCCUAUGCAGGGUCUGAGUUUGUCAUCCUCUGAGAGCACAAGCCCAAAGCCACCUAUGGCAGGUUCACCAUGACAAAUAUCUUCCCCGACUCUCUCUGCCUGGGUCAGUGCUGCAGGCUGAGGCUGCAGGAGGAGAUGCCUUCUGCCUUGUCCCUCCCUGCCUGCCUUGCCUGAUCCCUGACAAGUAGAAUUGUGCCAGACAAAAUGCAGUCUCUGAUGCAUCUGUGUCAGCCAAUGCUUUCAAGUUGAAAGCCUCAAUGAAAGUCUGUUGUUGUUCCUUUGCCAUCUCUGGGCAUUUACUGAUAGGAGAGAUGAGACUUGAAGACAUAAUUUUGCUGCUGCAGGAAAAGGGAUCAGAUGUCCUGGUCCCUUUGCUCAGGGUUUGUUCUGCCAAAUCCUGGGUACAGCCCCUUUGGAAAGACUCCUUAAUUGCUGAUAUGCAGCUGCAAUGCUGAAUGCAGUUGGGGAGAAUUACUGCUCAGUAUUGCUCAGGUGACAUUUUUGCUGGAUUGAUUCUGGCCUAGAAAUUACCUAUCUCAUCAAAGGUUGCCAGAUGCUCUUUUGUAAAUGACGUCACCAUUGUACUGGGAUAAAGAAACACAGAUUUUACCCGAGUCUUCUAUUUAUGCUCUACACUCUGCUGUUUGCAUUUAGGAAAUUCUUAGUGGUUUUUAACUGCCAUGAUCAGAAAUGUUUUAUUGCAGGUGAUCUUUGUGUUGGUAUUUGGUGUCUCUGCAGGAAAGAAAGCAGGGAAUAAACCCCAGGGGCAGGGAAUCUGAGCA